AGCGAACGCUGGCGGCAGGCCUAACACAUGCAAGUCGAACGAACCCUUCGGGGUUAGUGGCGGACGGGUGAGUAACACGUGGGAACGUGCCUUUAGGUUCGGAAUAACUCAGGGAAACUUGUGCUAAUACCGAAUGUGCCCUUCGGGGGAAAGAUUUAUCGCCUUUAGAGCGGCCCGCGUCUGAUUAGCUAGUUGGUGAGGUAAUGGCUCACCAAGGCUACGAUCAGUAGCUGGUCUGAGAGGAUGACCAGCCACAUUGGGACUGAGACACGGCCCAAACUCCUACGGGAGGCAGCAGUGGGGAAUCUUGCGCAAUGGGCGAAAGCCUGACGCAGCCAUGCCGCGUGGAUGAUGAAGGCCUUAGGGUUGUAAAGCUCUUUUACCCGGGAUGAUAAUGACAGUACCGGGAGAAUAAGCCCCGGCUAACUCCGUGCCAGCAGCCGCGGUAACAC
rnacentral:rRNA from 1 species